CGAUGAUCCGGUGCUUGCACCGGGGAUUAGUGGCGAACGGGUGAGUAACACGUGAGUAACCUGCCCUUGACUCUGGGAUAAGCCUGGGAAACCGGGUCUAAUACCGGAUAUGACCUGUCACCGCAUGGUGGUGGGUGGAAAGAUUUAUUGGUUUUGGAUGGACUCGCGGCCUAUCAGCUUGUUGGUGAGGUAAUGGCUCACCAAGGCGACGACGGGUAGCCGGCCUGAGAGGGUGACCGGCCACACUGGGACUGAGACACGGCCCAGACUCCUACGGGAGGCAGCAGUGGGGAAUAUUGCACAAUGGGCGAAAGCCUGAUGCAGCGACGCCGCGUGAGGGAUGACGGCCUUCGGGUUGUAAACCUCUUUCAGCAGGGAAGAAGCGAAAGUGACGGUACCUGCAGAAGAAGCGCCGGCUAACUACGUGCCAGCAGCCGCGGUAAUACGUAGGGCGCAAGCGUUGUCCGGAAUUAUUGGGCGUAAAGAGCUCGUAGGCGGUUUGUCGCGUCUGCUGUGAAAGCCCGGGGCUCAACCCCGGGUCUGCAGUGGGUACGGGCAGACUAGAGUGCAGUAGGGGAGACUGGAAUUCCUGGUGUAGCGGUGAAAUGCGCAGAUAUCAGGAGGAACACCGAUGGCGAAGGCAGGUCUCUGGGCUGUAACUGACGCUGAGGAGCGAAAGCAUGGGGAGCGAACAGGAUUAGAUACCCUGGUAGUCCAUGCCGUAAACGUUGGGCACUA
rnacentral:rRNA from 1 species